CAAUCGGUGGCGGGCUUGCCUUGCUCACCGUUUGACUUGGUGACUCUGAAUAACUUUGUGCUGAUCGCACGGUCUAGUACCGGCGACGCAUCUUUCAAAUGUCUGCCUUAUCAACUGUCGAUGGUAGUUUCUGCGACUACCAUGGUUGUUACGGGUAACGGGGAAUCAGGGUUCGAUUCCGGAGAGGGAGCCUGAGAAACGGCUACCACAUCCAAGGAAGGCAGCAGGCGCGCAAAUUACCCACUCCCGGCACGGGGAGGUAGUGACGAAAAAUAACGAUACGGGACUCAUCCGAGGCCCCGUAAUCGGAAUGAGUACACUUUAAAUCCUUUAACGAGGAUCUAUUAGAGGGCCAGUCUGGUGCCAGCAGCCGCGGUAAUUCCAGCUCUAAUAGCGUAUAUUAAAGUUGUUGCGGUUAAAAAGCUCGUAGUUGAAUCUGUGUCCCACACUGUCGGUUCACCGCUCGCGGUGUUCAACUGGCAUGUCUGUGGGACGUCCUACCGGUGGGCUUAGCCCGUCAAAAGGCGGCCCAACUCAAAAUCCUACCACGGUGCUCUUCACCGAGUGUCGAGGUGGGCCGGUACGUUUACUUUGAACAAAUUAGAGUGCUUAAAGCAGGCUCAUUCGCCUGAAUAUUGUGUGCAUGGAAUAAUGGAAUAGGACCUCGGUUCUAUUUUGUUGGUUUUCGGAAUUCCGAGGUAAUGAUUAAUAGGGACAACUGGGGGCAUUCGUAUUGCGACGUUAGAGGUGAAAUUCUUGGAUCGUCGCAAGACGGACAGAAGCGAAAGCAUUUGCCAAAUGUGUUUUCAUCAAUCAAGAACGAAAGUUAGAGGUUCGAAGGCGAUCAGAUACCGCCCUAGUUCUAACCAUAAACGAUGCCAGCUAGCGAUCCGCCGAAGUUCCUCCGAUGACUCGGCGGGCAGCUUCCGGGAAACCAAAGCUUUUGGGUUCCGGGGGAAGUAUGGUUGCAAAGCUGAAACUUAAAGGAA
rnacentral:rRNA from 2 species